rnacentral:rRNA from 1 species
AUACGGAGGAUCCUAGUGUUAUCCGGAUUUAUUGGGUUUAAAGGGAGCGUAGGCGGGAGGUCAAGUCAGCUGUGAAAUGUAUCUGCUUAACGGGUACACUGCAGUUGAAACUGGUCUUCUUGAGUGCGUAAGAGGCAGGCGGAAUUCGUUGUGUAGCGGUGAAAUGCUUAGAUAUGACGAGGAACUCCUAUUGCGAAGGCAGCUUGCUGGGUCGUUACUGACGCUGAUGCUCGAAGGUGCGGGGAUCAAACAGGAUUAGAUACCCUGGUAGUCCGCACAGUAAACUAUGGAUACUCUCUGCCGGCGAUAUAUUGUCGGUGGCCAAGCGAAAGCGUUAAGUAUCCCACCUGGGGAGUACGUUCGCAAGAAUGAAACUCAAAGGAAUUGACGGGG